UAGAGGACAGGAGAGAAGUGGGAAGUAGACCGAGGAGGGUGAACUCUGACUGUCCUCCAAGGACACAUGAAGGAAUUCAGACUUUUCUACAAAACAGUGUCUCCAAAAUAGAUGGAACAGUAAAUGGAUAUAUUAUGUGGAUUAAUAUACAUCCAUAAUUAACCUUUUUUUUGGAGAGCACAGUUUAAAAACAUGCGGAUGACAGGAAUGGUGGAGAGAAGAAGCAACGUGGAGGACGAAGAUGAAUGAAUAAAUUGAGAGAGAGAAAACAAGAGGAGGAAGGAUGUAGAGAUAAAGAAGAAAAAGAGCAGAGUAGAGAAAAGCA